AUUGAACGCUGGCGGCAGGCCUAACACAUGCAAGUCGAGCGAGCGGCGGACGGGUGAGUAAUGUAUGGGGAUUUGCCCGAUAGAGGGGGCUAACUACUGGAAACGGUGGCUAAUACCGCAUACUGUCGGAUGAACCCAUAUGGGAUUAGCUCGUCGGUAAGGUAAUGGCUUACCUAGGCGAUGAUCCCUAGCUGGGCUGAGAGGAUGAUCAGCCACACUGGGGCUAAGACACGGCCCAGACUCCUACGGGAGGCAGUAGUGGGGAAUAUUGGACAAUGGGGGGAACACUGAUCCAGCCAUGCCGCGUGUGUGAAGAAGGCCUUAUGGUUGUAAAGCACUUUAAGCGAGGAGGCGUUACUCGCAGAAUAAGCACCGGCUAACUCUGUGCCAGCAGCCGCGGUAAUUC
rnacentral:rRNA from 1 species